rnacentral:snRNA from 1 species
GGAUGUGAGGGCAAGACGGCUGUGACAUCUGUCAUCACAUUGAUCAGCAGGGUUGAUCCAGCUCAUCUGGCUGGUUAUGUGGGUGUCCCUCGCAAGCUCUCACGGUCCAUUUGUAUGAGAAGGUAGGGUGUCAAGCUUCCAAGACUCCAGAUACAUCCAAAUGAGGCGCUGCCGGUUGCAGCCUGCCUUUAAUU